rnacentral:RNase_P_RNA from 1 species
CCGCCGCUGGUGCAUGUCUCGAAAGAGCGCACUGGAGGAACGUCCGGACUGCACAGGGCAGCGCAGGAGGUAACACCUCUCCACCGAAAGCCGCAAGGCCCGAAGGUGAGGAUCAGAGCAACAGAGACGAGCCGCUUGAGUGCGGGUGAAACGGGCAAUCUCUGCGCGCAGCAAUACCAAGUAGGCACACGCAAGGUGAAGCGGCUUGCCGCAUCGCCCCGACCGCGGCCCGCGGAGUGUGCGGGUAGGUAGCACCGAGCCGUCAGGUGACUGGCGGCCCAGAGUAAUGGCGGUCACGCCGCGGGCAACCGCGACGCACAGAAUCCGGCUUACCGGCGAGCUUCACAC